AAGAAUAAGCUAAAUGUUAUACGUCAUAUUAUAUAGUUUGAUUGUGUUGUUUCAAUUGGCCUGACCAUUUCUAUCUUUCUUUUUAAAUUUAUUUUGAGAGAGAGAGCAAGCACAAGCCGGGGAGGGGCAGAGAGAGAGAGAGAGAGAGAGAGAGAGAGAGAGAGAGAAUCCCAAGCAGACUCUAAGCUCUCAGCUAGAACUCCGCAUGGGGCGUAUCCCACGAACUGUGAGAUCAUGACCGGAGCCAAAAUUAAGGGUCGGACGCUUAACCAACUCAGCACCCCCCAGGCACCCCAGACUGACCAUUUAUUUCUAGUAAGUUUUUAAAAUGCAUCUUGGCUUUUGGAUAGUGUGGGAAGAACCCUAAAAUUCAAUAUUAUGUAACAGCCAAAGUAAGAUUACAUUUUAGAGUUCAGAUUUCUUUUACUUUUUUAUUUAAAAAUUACUCUUUGGAAAAGUGCCGAACAGGCGUGAUGAAAGCAGCUUCUUUGCCUCUGAAAAACACUCUAGGGUAUAAAUCAGUUUAUUCAAUUUCAGUUUAUGUUGAACAUUUCUACAAAAAAAGCAUCUACAGGUAAACAAGUAAACUAUAGGUAAAAAAAAACAAUUAAAAUUUUUUGAAAUGUUAUGAUUUGUGGCAUGUAUAUUUAUGUAAACCUUGAUGGUUGCCCAGGUAUCCAGCUGCUUCUGGAGGCAGCAGUGCAGAAGGUUCUGCACUGUAAUUACAUUCUUUCUUUUUAAUACUGGACUUUAAAGGGUUUACCCUUCCCAGAACUGUGACAAAGUUGGCAUUUAUAUUUUGACAUUUUAUCUUUUCAGUUUCUAAGUGCCCAGAGACUCCUAUUUUCUUCAAACACAGUUCUAUCUAGCUUCUUGACAUGUUAAAAAAAAAAACCAAUAAAUAAAUUCACACCCUGUUAGCUAAUGAUUUAUAUCUGUUUUGAGUAAGCCUUCCCAGUUAGAGACAAUCGUCUAAACAAAAGGAAUGAAAUUAAAAAUGGUUAUCAUUUCAGACAGUAAUAAUGCACUGAUGGAAAGCCAGUUAUUCCCAGAGACAUUAAAAUCUGGUCAUAUACAGACUUAUUCUUCGUAAGCCAGUGAAAAUGUCUUGUUUGCAUCUUUCUGCAAACUUUUGACCUAAGUUGACAAUAUAUUUCCUGUGAAUUUCCAAAUGAAGUUUAAUUGUACUUGUUGACUGCAAGACAUUUCACAUCUGUGCCUUUUCUGAGUAGUACUACAAACAAUACUCCUUGGAACCCAAGGACCUAAUAUUAUGACCAUCUAAACACUGUUAAAUACAUCAUAAAGUUCCCAAUAACAUUAUCAUCUAUUAUAUCAUUAUCUGUCAUAUAAAAAUCAAUAGCACUCCCCAAUAAAUUAUAUGCUAUUAGUGAUCCAGAUUUUUACAAAUAGUGGAACUGGGCUAAAUAGCAGGUGUAACAACAAAUAUGAAUCCUAUAUCUCAUCUUCAUAUAUCAUGGACACUUGACAAGGUAAGAGAAGGAAAAUGAGACACGUAAUGUAUUCAUAGCUCUGCCGCCAAGUGUCUAUAUGCGUUCAGGCAAAAUUCACAUAGGAGAUGAAUAAUGAUGAUAACGAUAGUUAUUCUUGAGUACCUAUCAUGUGCCAAGCACUUUGUUACCUUACAUACAUUAUCUGUAAAGAUCAAAAGAGUCCUGCAAAUUUUUUUUUUGUAAAAAUCAGAUGGUAGUUCCCAGGUCCAGAUUCUAAUCUGAGUUUACUGCCUCACCAGCAUUUUAUCAGAAAUGGCCAUAAUCUUUUAAUAACAUGUAAUUACAUUAGUCCUCGGAAUGAAACCCAUCUCUGUGUAAUAUUACACAGCUUUGCCUCUCUCUUGUACUAAUGUUCCUGCAUCCUGAAGAUUCUCAAACAAUAAUCAAUUGCUAUUUAUUCACUAAAUAUACUGGAUUUGUCUAGAUUGCAUACAGCCAAAUUUCAUUUUUUCUGUCGUUUUACAGGUGUCCCAAAGGUAUUUGGAAAGAGUAGAUGAUAAGGAGAAGCUAUACAGCAUACAAUUUAGGGGGAAUAUAAUAAAAUAAUUAAAUACUAAUGAUAAAAGAGACAUUUUUACUAUUUAACAUGAAUGUUAUUUCAAACAUCCACCUUUCAUGUUUUAAUAAAGGAGGCCGUUUUACUUUCUAUGAGCAGUAUGUGUUGUGUCCUCUUCACCCUAACUUUCAGUAAUUAGUGCUCCCCAAAUUCAUAUCAAUUCAGUUAUUCAUUGAAUGACAUUUUAUCAGGGCUUUCAAUGAUGGCUUGGUAGAAACCUCAGUCAUUUUUAUGUACUACAACUAAUUUCUCAGUUCUGAAACAUAAUUUGCCUUGUCUGUAAAGAGUGUCUUUUGUUGCUGUUGUUAAACAGCUUAGCUCCAGAGGGACUAGAGCAAUACAAAACACAGAGGGUUUGGAGUAUGGAGACUUGGGGGUUUUGUCUUGCUCUGACAACGGGUUGUAUGACAACGUGUUGUGAGACUGAUUGAAUGACAGCAUCUUUUAAGUCUCAUUUAACUGACUUGUAAAAGGAAAUCUUUAGACUAAAUCAUCUCUCAACGUCUCAUUCAACUUUCAAGCACCGUAAUUCUAAGAAUCCCCCUGGCCAUCCAAAUAAGGCAUUUCUUUAGACUUGACAUCACCUCUGGACAAUACUGCAAACACACCCAGGGCUUCAGACUCACAUCUCUCAGGUUCCCACCUCUCGAAUUAACAAUUUGCAGUUUGGUCUGCAAUUGAAGUCUUUUCUCCACACCAUAUAGAGAGUAAACAUAUUAAUAUUGCCUCGUGUGAGCAUGCUUUUGACAUCGUUGUCACAACAGGAAACAAUCUCUGCUUUUAUUCUGUUUUGUUUCAGGUUAUACAUAGAUAUGCACCCUUUUCCCAACCCUGAACUUUUCUUCAGGUUACAGAAAAGACAAACCAUAAGGAAUAAUGCAAGGCAAGCUUGGGCCUGUGGAAUUGUCUUUAGAUUUCCUGAAGGGAUUGAAACUGUAGAAUUUGUUUUCAGUAGGGAAUUUGGUCAAACCAGAAUGAUGACUGUCUAAAAAAUUCUUGUUGGUUUUUAAUUUAAGCCAAAUAAUACAUUCAGUCCUCAGCUGUAUAAGUUAUGGGGUCAAAGUGAACGUAAAAAAAUUAGUUUCUACAGAGGAGCCUGGGUGGCUCAGUGGUUUCAGCGUCUGACUCUUGAUCUUGGCUCAGGUCAGGAUCUCUGCUUAGGUCAUGAUCUCAGAGUUCAUGAGAUUGAACCCUGAGUCGGGCUCUGUGCAGACAGCAUGGAGUUUGCUUGGGAUUCUCUCUCUGUGCCCCUCUCUCUCAAAAUAAAUAAAUAAACUUAGAAAAAAUUAGUUUCUACUGUGUAUCAAAUCCAAUCUUUCAUCAGUCUUUAAGACCAAUAAGUGCUUAUUUAAUAUCCAUUAUAACAUUUCAUAGACCCAUUUUCACUGGGAAUUAAAAAAAAGUACUCAAAAGACAUUCAGGAUGAAACAGAAAACAUUAUCUGAAUAUAUAAGACUUGCCUUUAAUAUGAACAACUGGUGCAAGCAAAUUGGUGCAAUAAAGCAAACAAAAAAUUAAUAAACAGAAAACCAUCUGCUGUAUGGAAAUCAUCUCGUUAAGGUUACAAACAUAAGUUUGAUUACAGCUAAAGAAAUCUAAUAUCUGCCACAGCCAAUAUUAAGAUUGCACUGUAAACUCUAUCCACAAAUCCCAUGAUAAACCCUUAAAGACAUUUCUGCAGCUGUCCUAUGAUACUGCAUACAAUAUUUCAUUUAAUCUCAUAACCACUUCUGUAGGUAAGUACUACCAGUUACUCAGUUUUGCAGGUGGAGAAUCUGAGGAACAAAGAAACUUUGUGAAGAGUGAAGAAUUUACAAAUUCAGCUUUUAGCCACCGAGCUACACUGCUUCCUACAAAAAAAAAAAAGUGUGUGUGUGUAGUUAGGGGGAAUGUACAAAAACCCAUCUUUUCCCACAUGAACCUCACUAAGGUGCUUCCUGGCCAAGCUCUGAAAUACUGUACCAUAAUACACUCUUAUUUGAGAAAACAGACACUAAAUAUUUGUUCUUAUUACACUAGGUUAUGUGUCAGAGGUGAGAUCCUAGAAAAUAAUCUCAUGUGCAUGAGUGUGAAUAUGACAUGUAACUUGGUCCUAUAAAAUAGCCUUUUCAUUUUUGUUUCAGAUAUGGAAAUAUCAAUGUGGUACCAUGUGUGAUUGUCCCGUGUACCUGUUCAGGCUUUCUCAACUUUCUCGGUUCCCUGUCUUUAUUACUAUUCCACUUUUGCCCCUCAAAUAUGAUUACAUUACCUAAACUAGACAGCAUAGUUGAGAACCACAUAGUAGGGUCUCAACGACUUCAACUCCCAAAACAAAUAGCAAAAAAACAACAAAAACCAACCAAACCAAACAAAACAAAACAAAACAAAAAAAACCCCCUCUUUACAGUAACUCUGUCCUUAAGCUUCUAGUGAAAUCUCUUGGAACAAAAUGCAAAAGCCACAUAUUAUGAGAAGUUUAGUUUUCUAUUCUAUUGUUUGCUAAUAAUACCUUAUGGUAAAUGAACAAUAUAGAUACACUUCAGGAAAUAAAUCUCCCUGUUAAUAAUGCAUACCCUAGCUUCCAUUUCUUUUCUUUUCUCUUUGUAACCUCUCCACUUAAAAUCAGAGGUGAUGCAGGGAUUAGAACCAAGAGCAAUAAGAAAGAAUUGCAGGCGAUCCAUGGCAUUGUAAGGAAGGCAGGGAUAUACCUAAUUUCUAAUUCUACGCUGAACUUCUGGACGGCACCCAUUACAAAUCUUUUUCCAUAACUGUCUUCCACACUCUAUCCCCACAACCCCCUUUAUUUUGGUACUGAUCUGGUACUUCUUCGCUAUGCCAAUUCUUGAUUCUUUAACACCUACGAGAGAGGAAGGAAAGGCUCCUUUGAUCUAACGGUGUAGCCUGGAAAGCGCACAGACCAGGCAUCAAACGGAAGAGCAAACUGCUCCCUACUCCCGCACCCUCCCCCACCCGUCUUUUUUUGCUUGAGGAAGUAUUCACUAUAAAGCAUUCUAAUUUCCCUCAACAGAUCUUCGCCCCUCACAUCUCGUCUUCUCCUUUUUCCCCUUCCAGUAAACUUUCUGGCUCUUUUCCUGGGCCAUAUGGCUGCCACCGGAAUCCCGGUCCCUCGACUCAGCUCUGCCCUUGUCCUUUUUACUCUCUGUCCGUAGUCCGCACAAAUAAAAUAUAUCGGAUCCUAGCACAAGUCUAGAAUUUGAACUUUUCUCUAUUUAAUCCUGCCUCCUCCAAGGAGUACCCAUAUAGGAAAAAGCAAAAACCCGAAACUCGCCUUUCUCGGUGCCAGCUCAAGGACUCGGUUUCCCAGCAAAGGGCACGAGGUACAGCCCCAGUCGGAAACUCCCAGCCUCACUGAGGGGGCGAAACGGGGUUUUCCAGAGACCUGUCCCUUUAGGGUUUAAAAGCGCGUCCCGUGGGAGCUUCGCUUUCACUUCUCUAGAGAGUACGGAGCUACAGGAGCCCAGGUACUCGCCCCUCUCCAGGCGCCUAUGUACCUGCCCAGGUGAGACCUCAAAGAAAAAUAACCCUGUGGGUGCAUCUAAUCUGAGUCAUUAUGACGAACAGGUUUGCAUCCUUGGGCUGAGGAAGAAGAACCAUACUAGACUAUUUCUGCUUGAUUCAUUAUCUCCCUAGAGAAAUUCAGCACUUCUAGUCUUGCUCAAUAUCACUCUAUGUUCCUUUACUAGUCCUCUUUCCUAAAUUUCCUCCCUUGAAUGGGAAAGAAUGGAUGUCAGCCAAGGGAGGAGUCAGAGAGGAAGACGUACUUUCAUACAAACAGGGACGGAGAUGAAACAAAAGGUAGAGAUAAAGAAAAGGAGAGAGAAGAGAGAAGACACAUCUUCAAGAGAUAUUGAGCCAUGGUGCUGCGGCAUAAACCUCCAGUAAGUCUAAUCUAGUAAAGGCAUUAAUAUGUGUGAAGAAUUCCAUUUCUUUCUCCAAAGGAAAAGAGGGAACAAGAGCUUCUCAGAGAGACAUCAUGGUCAGGAAGAUGGAACAGUGUUUAUUUGUUUGUCAGUUUCACUCAGGCUUGCAAUGACUGCAUAACUAAUCUUGACUUCAAGAAAGGUCUAUACAUUUCUAAAGUUGGGUAAGGGAAGCAUCCACAAGUACUCUUCAAAAGUGAAAUAAUAGCAGCAAAGAAGGAAGGAAAGAGAAGAAGGAAAGAAAGAGGGAAAGGCCAGUCAUUAAUUAGAAUACCUGUCUUCGACUAUUAAAAUAUUGGGUAGAGAAAUGAAUACAUUCUAUAAAAAGUAGCAAAGAGAGAAAAAUUUGUCAAAGCACAAUAGAACUGUGAGCACACUUCAAAGGAUCCAAGGCAUUCAUUAACUUCUCAGGACUGGUAAUCCUGACCCUGUAACUCAAUGGAGCUAUGUGACUAGUUUGGGCCAAUGAGUUGUGAGGCAAAGAUGAAGCAUGAGAGUACCUGUCUGGCACAAGAUUCUCCAGAGCUCUUCAUCUCUGCCACUGGGACCAGCACUUUUCCAGAGAGUGAGCCCUUCAGUUUGGAUUCAGAAUAAGAACAAUCCAGAACAAAGAACCACCUGGAUUCAUAAUAGACAGGUAAUAUGAAUGAGAAAUUAUCCUAUAAUGUUUUAACUCUCUGAGAUUUGGGAAAUAGCCUGUCACUGAAGCGUAACUUUUUCUCUGACUGAUAUAAAAAUAGAUGAUUCUUGUGGGGAAGUAAGAUUGGAGUAGAAUAUCCUUUCUGAAAAAAGUUACUUUUCCUCACUGUGUAUUUAAAGUUGAGCCAAGAAUUUACAGAUUAUGAUUCUUUAUAUAUCAUACAAAUCUUUCUUCAGAUUGUGACCCAAUAGAAUUAAAAUUAGCUGUUUUCAUUUCCUAGGUGAGUGUGGGAUGGAGGUGGUUAUAAAAUUUUGUGAACAAAGUUGUUUAUAAAACUGACCUUAGAAAGCAGCAGACUGUAGCCCUUAUAUUUCACUUUUAUGUUUUGAAUGAAUAUAUCACUUGGUGAAAUACUGUUAAUUUGCCCCUGAUGUUUCUUUUAAAGAUGCUUCCCGUUUCAAGGUAUAGUGCAAUCAACAUGGACAUUUACAUGGGCGUCCACACUGAAUGAAUAUGAUGUGGGCUCUUUGCCUAUUACUUUUGUAGUAGCUCUAUCCAAGAGACAUUCAUCCACAUAGAGACAAAAUAAAAGGGUGUCUCAAGGUUAAAGCAUUCCUUCUCCUCAGCUAGAGUAUAGACGAAGUAGAUUUCUAUCUUAUACAAGUGUUCUCUGAAAUCAUUACCAUUGCUUCAUCUCUAUGAGACUUUAAGAGUCAAAUUCUGGAAAGAAGAUGUCCUUCUUUGUAUUGGCUUCUUUAAGUCUCAAAGACUUGUUGGAAUUCAGGACAGAAUGAAGAGCAUUUCAAAUACUGCGUCUGUGGGCAUGAGGAGGAAAAAAGGUUUUACUCCUCCAUGAAUUGUCAUAGAAGGAAAUGAAACUUGCUAAACACAUAUCUGCUAUAAAACUGUGAUGACAGAAAAGAAAAAAGAGCACUUCUAUUUUUCGGAACUUUAUCAUUGUAAUUCUUCCAUGAAUACUAUUAAACUGAGAUCCCUGCAGAAAUGGCA